rnacentral:rRNA from 1 species
AACGAACGUUAGCGGCGCGCCUAACACAUGCAAGUCGAGCGAGAAAGGGCUUCGGCCCCGGUAAAGCGGCGCACGGGUGAGUAACACGUAGGUAAUCUACCCCCAGGUGGUGGAUAACCUUCCGAAAGGAGGGCUAAUACAGCAUGAGACCACGACUCCGAAAGGAGAUGAGGUCAAAGCCGGCCUCUUCACGAAAGCUGGCGCCAGGGGAUGAGCCUGCGGCCCACCAGCUAGUUGGUAGGGUAACGGCCUACCAAGGCGAAGACGGGUAGCUGGUCUGAGAGGAUGAUCAGCCACACUGGAACUGAGACACGGUCCAGACUCCUACGGGAGGCAGCAGUGGGGAAUCUUGCGCAAUGGGCGAAAGCCUGACGCAGCGACGCCGCGUGAGUGAUGAAGGCCCUCGGGUUGUAAAGCUCUGUGGAGAGGGACGAAUAAGUGUUGGCUAACAUCCAGCGCGAUGACGGUACCUCUUUAGCAAGCACCGGCUAACUCUGUGCCAGCCGCCGCAGUAAAAC